UCCGUAGGUGGAUAAUUAAGUCAGAGGUGAAAUCCUGCAGCUCAACUGUAGAAUUGCCUUUGAUACUGGUUUUCUUGAGUCAUUAUGAAGUGGUUAGAAUGUGUAGUGUAGCGGUGAAAUGCAUAGAUAUUACACAGAAUACCGAUUGCGAAGGCAGAUCACUAAUAAUGUACUGACACUGAGGGACGAAAGCGUGGGGAGCGAACAGGAUUAGAUACCCUGGUAGUCC
rnacentral:rRNA from 1 species